AAUUAUUAAGUAUUAUGUACGUUUGAUUUCCAAUCAAAAGGGCAAAGGGAUUAUU
rnacentral:tRNA from 1 species